rnacentral:piRNA from 1 species
UGGCCUUCUGAACUGCAGGGAAACAGAG